rnacentral:lncRNA from 1 species
AAGUAUGAUUAUUCAGCUACAUCUUCAACCAAACUCUAUUUUCGGAACAAGAAUCCGAAAUUGGUUGUAACUCAUGUGAAUAAGUUGAGAGAAAAGCCUCCUUAAUGUACCACCUCUGAAUCCCACUCAAAGGAUCUAAUUACAUAUAUAGCAGUGCUUGAUACUGCCUCUAAGUCUUCGGAAUCAUAAUCUGACAGGCAACUAUCACCUUCAUUUGAACUACAAUGAGUAGCAGCCUGAUUAUCUACUGCGUAUAUUAGGAACAUUAACACCCAUUUCACUAUCCUCAACUGCUAACAGAUUAAUGAUGUUGAAUUGAUCAGAAACAUAAGACUGUAAAGUCCUAAUACCCACAUCCCCAUCCACUUCAUAAUAUUUACCAGAAGGGCAUCAUAUUAUUAGUAGUCGAACAUCAACAUAUCCUAACUUGGAAGUAUACUCAUCUAUUAUAUCUAUGAAAGAUAGAAGGUCAUAAUCAUAUUGUUUUCAGCUGUGUACCAAUUUUCUUGAAUAUACCACUUCUGGCACCCUAAUCCAGUCACCUCCAUAAUGGAAUAAAAGGUCCACAUUAACCAUCUUUGUAAUCUGCAGAACAAAUAAUAGAAAAAGAUAAGAAACAAAAUGAUAAGGGCAUGCGCAUGAUUCAGAUAAAGUAGAAUGAAUAAAAGAUUUGUGAAGUCUCGCACAUGGUAGUUACUAUCUGUUAUUACUACAUGCUGUUUUAUUUAUGGUCCUUAUGUUUAGAUUAU